GUCAUUUUGAAAGUUUCAAUUACACUAAAUUAAUCGGCUUAAUCAUGAUGUCAAUCAUCGUGAUCAAUUUACUUAGGGUGAAAAAAUUACACCUGUAGAGUAAAAUUGUAAUUCAGUGAUCAUAUUUGUAUUGUUUAUUUCCUUCUAUCAAAAAUGUAAUUGAAAGAAGUCCGAAAUUCUUGGUGUAAUAAAGUUUAUAAUGAGCGUAUAUGACAGAUUUAGAAUUUUCAAGAUGAUUGGAUAGUAUUCUUGGAUAAAACUUAAUUUUGGACUUCAACUACUUCCACAAUGAUUAUCCACAUCUCACUGGAUUCUGCAAUCGACACCAAAAAAGAACAAAAGAAGUCUUUUGAACAUCGCCGUAACGGUGCAGCACGUGUCCUGUUGAGAAGUGGGGUGGCGGUGGAUUCGUGGAUUUUCGUGUGGCAAACAGAACAGUGCGUGA